GCCUCAUUGGCUCAGGGGCAGAGCGUCUGUCUUGUAAACAGGAACCUCUGGUUCGAAUCCAGCAUGAGGCA
rnacentral:tRNA from 1 species